rfam:Erinaceus europaeus unplaced genomic scaffold scaffold00515, whole genome shotgun sequence
UUGCUUCAGCAACACACAUGCUAAAAUUGGAAUAAUGCAAAGAUGAUUAGCAUGGUCCCUGCACAGGGUGGCAUGGACAUUUGGGAAGCUUUUCAGAUUUGU